rnacentral:lncRNA from 1 species
CAAAACCAACUUUGUGCUACACAAAUUAGAUGCAGUAGAUGAGGCAAACUAUGGAUAUAACUACAGCUUAGUAGGAGGAACAGGGUUGGAUGAAAGUUUAGAGAAAGUUGAAUUCGAGACAAAUAUUGUUGCUGGGUCUGAUGGUGGAUCCAUUGUUAAGAUUUCAGUGAAAUAUCACACCAAAGGUGAUGCAGUUCUAUCUGAUGCAGUACGUGAGGAGACUAAGGCCAAAGGAACUGGUCUUAUCAAGGCUAUUGAGGGCUACGUCUUGGCAAACCCUAAUUACUAGCCAAUUAAACCCUAUUGAGGACUUUAAUUUGGGUUGUGUUGUUUUAUGCGAAUAAUAAUUAAAGUUUAUGAUGUAGUUGAAUGUGUGUUGAGUAUACAUCAAGGUCUUUGGUUCGUACAUGUGUGUUGGCUAUGUUGGAUGUUGUGAGGUUUGAGUGUUAUUUUGGGUGUUUAAAAACAAAAACCUAUGUUGUGUUGGUGAUAAGGUUUUGCACCAUUUGUAUUCUGCAAUAAAUAAUGCAAAAGAAUUUUAUAGCACUUUCGGUUAUUUGAAUUUAAUUUAGGAUCACAUCAAACUAACAGUGCAUAUGACUUUCGAUUGGUAAUUUUAACCAAAGCUGUCUACAAUUAUUUAAAUAGUUUGGUUGAGUUUUGUCUUGAAUUGAUUUGAGCAAUUUAAAGUAAGUGAAUCAUAUUUUGAAAGAGUCAUCAUGACAAAUUUGAUUUUUAAAACAAAACCCCCAGUGUGUAAAAUAAGCAUGAUGAUGAGGCGGGUGAUGAUGAGUUUUACCUUCCCCAUCCUUAUACCCUACUCUCAUAUACUUACCUGCCACUUUACCUAUAUCUAAUGAGGGUGAGAAGUCGAACCCCAUCACUGUCUCCGACGGGUUUAGGUAUCCCCGCGUCAUCUCCGUUGUGGAUAAUUUUUUUUAAUGAAAAAAGUGUUUUUCUACUUCAGGCGCAAUGUUGUAAUACAUUAUCCUACAAAGAGAUGAUGACGAUCGAUAACUACGUUGAUGGAGAAGUGAGAGACCGAGAUUGAGAAGUGAGAAUCAUCUGAGAGACUAAGACUCUGACUAUGUGAGGAGAAUAAAGAGAACUCUGAGAAGUGAGUGUCAUCUGAGAGACUAAGUUUUGAUUGUGUGAGUGAAAUGAUUUAGGGUUUGAGUUUCUAUUUAUAUAAAAUGGAUAAUAAAUUGAUUUUCUACAUGUGGGGCGGGUUUGAGUGUGGGUUCGGGGUGAAUACAUAUAUCCUCGUUACCUAUCCAGUAUCCAUGUUUUGAAUCAUGGAAAAUUCAAACUCAUACCCAAAUCCAAUAAAAGCAGAGAAAAUCCGUCAAAUUAGAUUUGUUUCAAAUGGGUACCCGCAGAUAUGCAUUUUGUUGUCUUACCUCAAAAUCACUAUUUAGUAUAGAAAAGUUAACUUGUAACUAAUGUACAACUUAAAGUUAAGAAGUUAAAUGCAAAAUUAUAUUUAGAAAUUGCGCAUUUCUUAUCCUAAAGUUUCUUCUUUUUCAAGGGUAAUUCCUUGAGAGUUUAAAAACUAAAUUUUAAUUCAAUACAAAAAUUUUGUUUUGAUUUCAUUUUUAGAUCGUUAAUUUGUGUCCUUGGUAUACAAAUUAACCUAACUCAUUGAGUAUGUGUUUGUUUUUUCUUAAAAAGAGUAUGUGUUUAGCUGUAAAAUAACAUUAAACAUGAGUCGUCCAACCUGACACUCUAAUUAGUAGCUUCUGAACCUCAUGAUUAAAUGGUAACUCACAUUGGCUGUGAACUAACUCUAUCCCAAAUUGGUGCUUAAUACGCUAAUUUAGGGAUAUUUGUGGUGCAGUUUGAAUUAGUUUUGAUGCAAAUAGUCAUCAUAUUUAAAAUAAAAAUCGCAUGCGGAAAAUAUAGGGUAAAAUAUAACGUUUAAUGGAAAAUAUAGCAUGAAUAUAUAUUAAAAAAUAAUAUUACAGAAUAAAAAUUAUCAAUUAUAUUCUAAACAUAGGAAGAAGUAAUACUAUACAAUAAAUUAAUGCAAUAUAUAAAAAAAAAUAAAAAAUAAAACCGAGAAGCUAUAUAUUAAUGCAAUACACACACUAAUAAAAUAAUAAAUAAGUAUUAAAAUUUACAAAACAACAUCCAAAAAAAAUCAAUUUUUUUGUUGUUGUUUUUUUUGGAUUAGUGUACGGUUUUAUUUUGGAUGCGUUUGAAUUUGAAUAACCACAUGCCUACUAGGCUAACUGUGUAUAUUAUUUAGGAAAUGUCAUAAAAGGUACUCCCUCAAUCUUAAAUAAUUAUCAUUAUUUAACUUUCAUCCAUAUCAAUGUACAAUUUUAACUAUUAAUAUUCUUAGUUAUUUAUUAAUAAAAGUUGUAAAAAAUUGAUAUUUUAAAAAUAUUCGUUGAGAUAAAUUGAACAAUAUUUUAUUUACUAACAUUUUAUUUACAAAUAUGAUCAAAGUAGAUUAUGUGAAUCGUACGUAUGGUCAAACUAUGACAAUAAUUUUGAAAUAGAUGGAGUAAUUUUGAAAAUAGAAAAGAGAAAUGUUAGCUAGUGCCUUCCGGUGCACUAGCUAUAUGAAAAACGUGUGGAGUAAUUUUGAAACCAAUAUAGAAAAUUGUGUUGAGAAGUAUGAAAAAGUUGUACGUUCAACUUUUUAAAAGUCAAAAAUUUAUUAUUUUUAUAAAAAAAAAAAUCUACUUCUAAUUUUUUUAACUAAUGCUCCAUAAUCAAUAGUUAGCAUGACUGGAUAAAAAAUGACAUAUCAUAUCAUACUAACAAAUGUUCUAAAGUUACAUUGUUAUGGACAUUUGUUAGCAUUUUUUACUUUUAUUAAAAAAAUAGGCAUUUCACACGGUUACUUUUGGCUUUAUCACAUUUUGCGUUCACAUAUCUUUGUAAAUAAAUAUGCCUUAUAUUGAUCAGGAGUAAAUUGGAACACAACUAGCAUCUCUCCAUUUCUCUCUAUCAUCAUGUGUAUAUCACAAUUUUUUGAAGAAGUUAAAGAAAUCAUGUUAAAAAUCAAAUAAAGCUCCUUUAACAUAUGGUGCGUCAAAGCAACCUAAUAAUCCAAACAGCUCACAUUACAACAUGUCGUAACAACCCAACAAAAAAUUAGAAAACUAUCUUUAAGCAAAACAAAGGAUUUUGCCUCGAAAACACGUGAUAUAAUUUUAACCACCAAUAAAUUUGUAGUUUAAUUUUUUCACUCAGAGAUUGAAGUUGAUUACUCUUCUGUUGAAAGAUCCUAACAUUUCUUUCUUUGAAAUGACGCAAAGCACUGAAAAGUCGAAAGAAGUUCUCCUUGGCGAAUCCCUUUUUUCAACUUAAACUCAUUAGUAAGGCUACCAUUCACAAGUACCGAAGUCGUUGCUGUUGAGACACAUUCUAAAAUCCAUUGACUCCAGCGCUAAGGGUAAUUCAGUUUGGUCAUCAAAUCUCCCAAAUACCUCCAAUGAACUGAGUCAUAGGUUUUUUUGAAAUCAACCUUAAAAAGAAUAAGUUCUUUCUUAGAUUUACACGCAUCACCCUUUAACUCAUUGGCUAUCAGAAUUGCAUCUAAAAUUUGUCUACCUUUUACAAAAGCAAACUAAGAUUCUGAAACACCAUUACUAACCACCUUCCUCAAUCUAUUAGCAAGAACUUUUGACAAAAUUUUAUACACCCUCCGUCCCUUAAUGUAGGCACCUAUUGCCUUUUCACAUUUCUUAAGAAAUGUUGUCAGUGUAAUUAAUGUGUUUGUUUUGUGUGUUAAUAAUUAUCCUUGGUUUGUAUGUAUUAAAUUUGACUUUUCAUAUUUCAAGACAAGUUAGUAGUAUUAAUUAGGGAUAUGUUUAGGAAAAAAUUAAUAAACGCAUCUAGUAAUUUGAAAUGGAAUUUAAAUUUAGAGAAAAAAAUAAAAUCAAACGGAAACUUAGAUAUAAGGACGGGGGAGUAUAAGCUACCAACCAAAGAAAUAGGUUGAAAAUAUGCCAACUUCUAAAGACUCUUAGCUUUGGGAAUCGAAGUAAUAAAAGUAUUUAUGUCCUUUGUUAACUUACCAUUGUGAUGAAACUCAACAAACAAAUUCUUUGAUAAAACCAAUAUUAAUCUCAUCUUGCUCAGGACUCUUAUAACUAUCACAAUCUCACACUCAUGCCUCUAUCUCUUCCAACAAAAAAGGUAUAAUAAGAUCAGCCACAUCCUUCAUACUAAUAGUUUUAAAAGAAAGAUCCCCUAACCCAGGUCUGGACUCCAUUGCAACUUUAAAAUUAGAUUGAAAAUGUUGAAAAGCCACACUCCUCGCCCCUUCCACACCCUUAAUCUGAACACCUUUAACAUUAAUAGAAAUAAUCACAGUUGACCCGUCUCCUAGAAGACACCACCCCAUGGAAAAAAAAAAAAAAAACGAAUUAGCACCACCCUUCUUUAACCAAGUCGAUCUAGAUUUUUGCCACUGAAUACUAAAAUGUAAUUUAUAUAAAGCCACAACAUCUGCUAAUAGAAAUCAAAGAGAGAAAUCAACAUAUCAAACAAAACGAAACCGAAGAACCAAUGCAAAUUGAACUAAAUAACCAACCUAAAUCAAACCACCAUUAAUCAAAUCAUCCUUAUCAAAUCCACCAAUCAAUCACAAUACUAACAAUUCCAUCGUGUGAAGAACAAUGAAUUCAAAUGGAGAAAAACUAAUGGAUAUCAAAAUAAAUCCAUAGAGAACAACCGUGACAAUUGCUUAACAAAUAGUAAUUCAACUAAAAAGAAAAGUCCUAAUCCAACAAAAACCAACACAUUAAUAUCCAAGUGCCAUCAGGACUCAACUGAAUCUUUGAAUCAAAAAAAUAAUAGAUAGCUAAAACAAUAAAUCUUAUAGUUUACAAACAAAUCAAAAUGCAAAACAGAUUCCUAAUUUUUUUUUUUUUUUUUUUGAAAAAUUAACAACGGAAUAGCCGUGAAUCAUAUAAGGAGGGUCAAAACAUGCUCUUGAUACCAUGUUAACAAUAUUAGGUUUAGAGCUCUUAUACAUGGAGCAUCGUAGGUGACAUACAAACUUUCACGGUGUGAUGUGAAAUUACUAAAAUACCCCUGUCACAUGGGGGUAUACAUGAGAGGUACAUAAAAAAGGAUGUCUAUCUAUCUUUUUUCAUAGAUUUAAUAAAAAAGGGAGAAUAACACAAAACAACUAGAAUUUUAUAAAAUGUAGAUGACUUAACAUUACAAAAGGUUAACAUAAACCUAAUGGAUUACUAACUUAAUAAUAGUUUAAGUUAAAAACUUUAUUAUCUAACCAAUUUUAUCUACUUCCAAUAUAUCACCUACGAAUUUUCUAUUUUUGAAUCCCGUCUACACUCUGAGUCAUGGAAUACUGCGAGACUAUUUCAUAUUGAUUUUCGUAACCCAAUUCAAGAUAACACAAAGAGGGUUGACCCAAUCACAAUCACCAAUAAAUAAAUGAGCUUUUGUCAAAAAAAGACGACCUGAUCAAUGAGCUAUUUUUCAACAAAAUAAAGUGAGAUUUACGAACAAGCCACAAGGUAUGUCCUACCAAAGUUCUAUAAAUACCAUUCCUCACCAUCUCAUAAACCCACAUCACAAGCGAAAUUAGUUGUAUUCAUAUUAUACAUUUCUCUUUUCAUUUUCUUCUUGUAUAUUGAUCCUUUUUAACUAUCUUGAUAUAUAUCAUGGGUGUUUUUACUUUCAACGAUGAACAUGUCUCAACCGUGGCUCCAGCUAAACUCUACAAAGCUCUUGCAAAAGAUGCUGAUGAAAUAGUCCCAAAGGUGAUUUCUGCUGCCCAAAGUGUUGAAAUUGUUGAAGGAAAUGGUGGACCUGGCACCAUCAAAAAGUUAUCCAUGUCUGAAGGUAAUUCAUUAAGAGCAUUUACUAUAUCCCUGUCAAAAAAAUACAACUUUAUUAAUUAGUAAUUCAAUAGACAUGUUAAGAAAUCAUAUACUCACUUUUAUUUUUGAAUUAGAUUUUGAGUGUUGAAGGAGACCAAUGAUAAUACAUAAACUGAGUCUAUAUAUAAAUAAUAAGCUUCAAGAAACAACUAAUUUCCAUGGAAAAAGAAUAUAUAAGAUACUUCAUGCAAGAUUCAAGAGAACCACUAAACUGGAGACAGGGCCGGCCUAAGGACCAAACAACCUAAACAAGGGUUUUAGGCUUCAAAACUUUUGGUAAAAAAAAAGGUCUUUAAAAAAUUAAUUUGGUCAUAAGUAUAUUAUAUGACAGAUAAAUUACAGACAUUUGAAUAGCUUAACUGAUCAAAAAGGUUUUAAUUACUCAUGGUCAUGAAUUCAAAUUUUGGUCUCCACGCAAUUGCUUUUAUAUAAAUAUUCUAUUAAAAAAAUAAUUUCAAAGGCCACAUUAAAUUUUUUGAUUUAAGCCUCUUAAUCUGUUGGGUCGGCCAUGGCAGGAGAUCCAACUAUUUGUAUAAACUACAGUCGUUGAAAUGUAACUAUUGUGAGAGUGUUGCUUGUUUUCAUUAUAUAUAGUAGUUAUAUAUUCAAAUGAAAUGAAUGAUCAAAUUAACACUAAAAUUUAGUUAAAAUCAUUUCAAAUAUCAAUAUAUUAUUGUCAAGAUUAAAUUAUGUAAUUUUAUAUGAUUUCAACCUAAUGGUAAAGAGUGGUUAUAAUAUAUCCAGAUUAAUUGUAAAUAGACUCGUAUUCAAUAAUUAUAGUAAUUAAGAUCAACUUUUUAAUCAGCCCAAUAAAAUGUGUGGUCUACAACUAUAAGAUUCACACAAUAUUAUAGUAAAAUAGACUUAACAAUCAAGUGAUUAAAUAUAUCCAGUUACAUUAGAAUUGAUCUAUGACAAAAACAAUUUUUAGUCGAACUUUACUUUCAUUUUGAGGGAACCAACUUAUAUAAAUUAUGAUGGUUGUAUUGUAGGUGGCAAAACCGACUAUGUGCUACACAAAUUAGAAGCAAUGGAUGAAGCAAACUUGGGAUACAACUAUAGCAUUGUAGGAGGAACAGGGUUGGAUGAAAGUUUAGAAAAAGUUGAAUUCGAGACAAGUAUUGUGGCUGGCUCUGAUGGUGGAUCCAUUGUUAAGAUUUCAGUGAAAUACCACACCAAAGGUGAUGCAACUCUAUCUGAUGCAGUGCGUGAUGAAACUAAGACCAAAGGAACUGGACUUAUCAAGGCCAUUGAGGGAUACGUUUUGGCAAACCCUAAUUAUUAAGUAAAAUGUAUACUUGGUUGUGUUGUGUCAUACCAAUAAUAAUUGAAGUUUAUGAUAUGGUUGUUUGAUUUAUACAUCACGAUUUCUAGCUUAUACAUGUGUGUGGGCUUUGUUGUUUAAUUACAAAAAUCUAUGUGUUGAUGUUGAGGUUUUGUACCAUCUAUAAUUCUGUAAUAAAUAAUGAAGAAUUUUCUAGCACUUUUCAUUCGGUAUUUUAACUUUAUAUGCCUUGACCAUUAUUGGUACACCAAUUUCCUUUCCUCUUGUUAUCCUUUUUUUUUCUUUCUUUGGAUUUAUUUUUGACUUGUAACACAUAAAAACUCAACUCAUCACUAGCAUGCUUUGAAUUUUACUAUGGCUGAGAAAAAGUAAAAACAUAAUGUGAGUAUGAUAGAGAAAGUUGUCAUAUAAUGGUUAUAUAAAUAUUAUUUCUCUAUCAUAAAUGUAAAGUGGAAGAUAUUGAAUUGAGAGUGAUGAAAUUUGUAUGGGUCUUGUUAACGAGUGCCCCCGAGGGCACUCUUUAAGCAUACUAAAUUAGAAAAUUAUUCUUUAAAAAAUUCAAAUAAUUCAAUUUCCAAUGCAUUGAAUACAUAACUUUUCAUAAAAAGUUACUAUUUAAGACCCUUAAAGAGUGUCCCCAGGGCACUAGUUAACAUUUCUGAAUUAUAGUAUUAAUUAAGAUGUAUAAUUGAAAAAAGAUAGUUAAUUAAUAUUAUAUUAAAAAGUGAAAUUGAUCAUUCAUUUUAGAUCUUUCUUCUUUUUUACAAAUAAAUUACUUAUUGUGGAACAUGAGGAGUAUCAUUUAUGCUCAAACUAAUCAUGCAAACUCUAAUAUAUAUAAACAAUUAUAAAUCAAAUAGACUUCAAUUUGAUAUUCCUUGCACUCGAAUAAUUUGGUAAGAGACAAAUUAAAUAAAGGAAUUUAAGUUUUUAUAAAUAAUCAACAUGUUAUAAGAUACAAUUGUUUGAAAAAGAAGAAUGGUGGUUUGCGGGUUAGGGUCUCUUAGUUAAUCAUCUAUUUCUGUUUCAUGUUUUUUUUUUUAAUAAUUUAUUUCUGUUUCAUGUUAUUUACCAACUUUAUAUUAGUUUUUUUGUAACUUUUUUAGUACAACUUGUGCUGAAAAGAUUUUGGUUAAUGAUAUUCUAUUUUGACAUGCUAAAAAAAAUGAUGAAUGUGAACCCGUUAAAUAAGUAAACGAUAUAGUACAUAGGUUGCAUAUUUUUAAACUUUGCCGUCUUUGAAUUGAAUUCUUGAUGCUUUUGUCCAAGUCAAAUUUCGAUUUUUAAUUCCUUUGCCCAUCUCUUCAUCGGCCAAAACUUCUGAGCUAAUAAGUCAUUGAUCUAUAUCUAUAUAUCUAUCUAAAGAAAAGUCAUUGAGUUGAAAAUAUCAUUUUGAAGAUAUGCUCUACAAUUUAUGGUUUUGAAAAAUAAUACACGCUCUCUAAUAUGGACAGCUUUGUUUUACACACUUAUUAAUCCUACUUAUUAAAGGUGCUACUAGCUAGUAACAGAUGGGAAACUUUUUGUUUCAAGUUUACCAAAUUUAUUUUUGGUGAUAACAUUUCUUGGAACAUAAAGAUGAGAAUUUUAUUCUAAAAUAUUUAGAAAAAAGAUGUUUGCUUAACAUUAUAGUAUUCUCAGAAACCAUAAAAAUAAGGAUUAUAAUAGAUAAUUACACAUGAAUCUAUUCCCAUGUUCAUGGGAACUUUAUUCCCACUAGUUUCUGUGAGAAAUUUUUUCCAUUCCCAUAAACAUUUUAUACCUGCGAAUAAAAUUUAAUAAAUUUGUAACAAACAUAGACAUGCAUAUGUCUAUUGUUUUAUUCCCAAAAAUCUACAUAGAUAACUUGAAAUAAACGUACCCUUAAAUUUAAUUAUUUACUGAAAAGAAAAAUGUGAUAAGGAAUCUGUUUCUACACCUCCAGGAAACACUAUCUCUUUUUCUUUUACGGAUCAAAGCUACAUUAUUUAGUUCCGUAAAUACAAUUUGAAUGGUAAAAAAUUUAAAGAUAUUUGAUUAAUUGGAGUGCGAGUUUGAAUAUAUAAUUCUUCACUUUAAAUGUUUUAAAGUAGAAUUGAUUUUUUUUGUAAAAUUAAUUCUACUCAAAGCUAAAUGUCGAGGCACGAAUAUUGUUCAAUUCACUUUUACUUAAAUAUAAUAAAACAUAUAUUAUUUUACAUUUAAUCAGAAUUAACUGUACAAAAUUAAUUCAUUUAGAAUCAAAUUUUUGUUGUGUAGCAUAAACAAACACACACUAAAUUACGUAGUUUGAUUUCUUUAUUAAAAAAAAGAAAGAGUAAAAUGAUUUCAUAUUUUGUCUUCAUUCCCAUUAGUUUGUUAUUGUCUUUGUAAUAAAAAAAUUAAAAAAAAUAUUUUUUUUCACUACGUAAAAACUUCACGUAGAUCUUUUUAUCAUUAAUUAAUUCGUGCGUGGUUAUGUACGACUGAGUCUCCUUAUUUUAGGAUAACGACUUCAAAUCUUUCAUACAUCAAUCUUCACCAAACUUUAACGGUGUGUUUGGAUGUAAGAUGAAAAUGAAAAGUGAUAAACAGAUGAGAAAGAGUGUGAGAAGAGAGAAAGCGAUAAGCAAUACAAUAGAUUUGUAGCAUUGAUUAGUAUAAAAAUGAGAAGAGAAAUAUAAAAAAAAAAAACAGAUAUUUUAUUCUUUGAAAAAGACAAAAACAACCUCCAUUAAAAAUAAAAUAGUAAAAUAUCGCUACUAUAUUAUGCUAUCUAAAGUUUGUCAUAAAAAUUAUCCUAUAUUAUAAUUUAUUAGUAUAAUAAUAAAUCUCAUGAAAUAAAGUGAAAAAUUAUUUACUUUUUCAUUGUGCUGUAAAAAAGUACUCCAUGUUAAUCAAUGUAUAAAGCAUUUAAAAGAAAGGGGCAUAAUUGGAAAUAUGCAAUAAAUAGGUUGCUCUAUUGGACUUUCAGGAUUGAAAAAACUGUCGGUACCAAAAAUUAAUUCGAACUUGAAUUAUUUCUUUUAACGCAACUUUAGAUGGCUCCUUGUGACUUUAAUUAAUAAUAUCAAACAUUUAUCUUGUAAAACAAGGUAGGACCUACCAAUAUGUCACUUAGUCAUGGAUUUCUAGACUAAUUCACAUUUUUAGAAUCGAAUUCAAGAUUGUCGACAUCACAAAGAGAAUUGACCCAAUAAAUAAAUAUCAAAAUACUUGAGCUAAAUAAAUAAGUGAGAUUUUGCAAACAAGGUAGGUCCUACCAAAGUUCUAUAAAUAGUAACCCUCAAUGUGUUAUAAACCGCAUCACAAACUAAAAUAGUAGCAUUAUUCAUAUUAUACAUUAAUUUCUCCUUUCAUUUACUUAUUGCAUAUUGAUCCUUUUUAUCUUGAUAUAUAUCAUGGGUUCUUUUGUUUUCAUUGAUGAACAUGUCUCAACUGUGGCUCCAGCUAAACUUUACAAAGCACUUGCAAAAGAUGCUGAUGAAAUCAUCCCAAAGGUGAUUCCAGCUGCUCAGAGUGUUGAAAUUGUUGAAGGAAAUGGAGGACCUGGCACCAUUAAGAAGUUAUCCAUGUCUGAAGGUAAUUGAUUAAGAUUAUAUAACAUUUACACAGUUGAAUUUUUGGGACUAGAGUUGAUUGUUGGUAUAUUGAAAUGAGAUUCAACAAUCAAGUAAUUAACGAUAUCCAGUUACGUUCAGAUUGAUCAAUGACUUAAACAAUUUUUAGUCAAACUUUAUUUAAAUUUGAGGGAACAAAACUUAUAUAAAUUAUGAUGGUUUAAUUGUAGGUGGUAAAACCGACUUUGUGCUACACAAAUUAGAAGCAAUGGAUGAGGCAAACUUGGGAUACAACUAUAGCAUAGUAGGAGGAACAGGAUUGGAUGAAAGUUUAGAGAAAGUUGAAUUUGAGACAAAUAUUGUGGCUGGAUCUGAUGGUGGAUCCAUUGUUAAGAUUUCAGUGAAAUAUCACACCAAAGGUGAUGCAGUUCUAUCUGAAGCUGUACGUGAG